CGAGGAAUAUUGGGCAAUGGGCGAAAGCCUGACCCAGCGACGCCGCGUGGGUGAUGAAGGCCUUCGGGUUGUAAAACCCUUUCGUGCGGAAAGAAUAGUCCUGUAGCGAAUAACUACGGGAUUUGACGGUACCGCAGGAAGAAGCACCGGCUAACUCCGUGCCAGCAGCCGCGGUAAUACGGAGGGUGCAAGCGUUGUUCGGAAUUAUUGGGCGUAAAGGGCGCGUAGGUGGUUGUGAUAGUCAGAUGUGAGAUCCUUCGGCUCGACCGAAGAACUGCAUCUGAAACUUCAUAGCUCGAGUACAGGAGAGGGAAACGGAAUUCCCGGUGUAGAGGUGAAAUUCGUAGAUAUCGGGAGGAACACCAGUGGCGAAGGCGGUUUCCUGGCCUGAUACUGACGCUGAGGCGCGAAAGCGUGGGGAGCAAACAG
rnacentral:rRNA from 1 species